GGUAAGUCUGUGGGAGCGGGCGCGGUAAAACAGGGGGUGGGAGGUGGGUGCGGAAUCAGUGGGCGUGAAGGGCGCGUAGGGGGCAGGCCAAGUCGGUGGUGAAAGCUCGACGCUUAACGUCGAGGCGGCCCCCGAAACUGGUUUGCUGGAGCACUGUAGGGGCAGAUGGAAUUCCGGGUGUAGCGGUGGAAUGCGUAGAGAUCCGGAAGAACACCGGUGGCGAAGGCGGUCUGCUGGGCAGUAGCUGACACUGAGGCGCGACAGCGUGGGGAGCAAACAGGAUUAGAUACCCCGGUAGUC
rnacentral:rRNA from 1 species